rnacentral:rRNA from 1 species
UACGUAGGCAGCGAGCGUUGUUCGGAGUUACUGGGCGUAAAGGGUGCGUAGGCGGUUUUCCAAGUUUGGUGUGAAAUCUCCCGGCUUAACUGGGAGGGUGCGCCGAAAACUAGGAGACUUGAGUACCGGAGAGGUAAGCGGAAUUCCCGGUGUAGCGGUGAAAUGCGCAGAAAUCAGGAGGAACACCGGUGGCGAAGGCGGGUCUCUGGGCCGAUACUGACGCUGAGGAGCGAAAGCGUGGGGAGCGAACAGG